CGAGUGGCCUUGGGCAUGUCCUUACACCUCGCUGUGUCUUCACUGCUGCAUUGGGAAGCUGGCCCCACGUACGACCCUGCUUUGCUGCUGUUGUAAGGACACAGUGCGAAGACAGGCAGAAAGCUCUGAGAAGGGAACAGAAAGCUGAGUUUCCCUUCAGUGUGCGCACUCACUAUGAGAAAAGUGCUGGCACACACAGGCUUCUUCACUCCUCAGAACAGCUCCGUGGCCUUUGCUGUUUUACACCAGGGAAAGGCCACUGAAACACAUGAACAUUGAGUCACAUGGGCCACACGGCUUCUGAGGGACAGUGAAGGGCAGAGACUUGAGUUCCAGUCCACCGAGGCACUAGCAUCUGGGGUGAGCCAUCUUCCCUCACGGCCAGAGGACAUGGCCUCUGACCUCCUAGGGGGUCCAGGGUGGGAGGCAGGCCAAGGCUGAGGACAGAGGGAGAGUUUACAUUUCAGGGGUUUGUUUUGGUUUGGUUGAGACAGGGUUGAACCUGUGGCAAUCCUCCUGCCUCAGCCUCCCCAGUGCUGGGAUUACAAGCAUUUGCCACCACGCCUGGUUACAUUUCAGGUUUAAAUAAACAGAAUCAAUGGUACAAGUUGCCUCCUGAGCUUGGUAGAAAGAGCCCAGAGCUGGCUCUGGCUUCCGCUCCAGCUCCGAGGCUUCCUGUCACUGACAGAGCCACCCUAGCUGUCUGGUCUGUCAUUCCACUUCCCUUUCCAGAAAACACAGACAGCCCAGCCAUCUGCCAGCAAGGACUGAAGACACAGCAGCUGCAGGAGCUAAGACCACUGGCCUCCCGAAGGAAGCUAAAUCCCAGACAUGAGGUUUUGGCUCACUGGCUCAUGCUAUUUCACAGACUCAGCCCUGAGAGGACCAAGGAUACGCUGCAGAUCAUGAGGCCAGGCCAGGGCCCCAGCCCAACCAGCCCCCAUGCUGCUGCACCUGCGGGCCCGGGUCCUGGGGACAGCUGAGUCUGGAGCAUGACAGACAGCCUGGGGCCUCUGUGGACAGAGGGACAGGCUAGGGAAGAGAGGGUUACAUAGCACCUCCUUCCAGUCAGUGACUGUGCUGAUCAAUCAACUCAAUUAAAUCCACGAUGCUUUUAAAAAAAGGAACAACAACAACAAAGAACAGCAACAGAAAGUAGUGACUAAUAAUCAAGUAAAAUUGGAUUACUUCUGUGCUGACUGGUUGGGGAGGGCGGGGAAGACCUAGCUCACUGGAGCGAGUGAGGAGAGAGAGCAAGCUCAGCAACCUGGGGAGGCAGGAUGGUGGGGGGCUCAGGGGCAGAACUCUGGGCCUCAGUGAUCGGCUCUGGGGCAGGUGCAGAGGGGCACUCAGGAGCUGCUGCAUCUGCCUGGCAGCCCCGGAGGGC
rnacentral:lncRNA from 1 species